GGGUUGUAAACCGCUUUCAGCAGGGACGAAACUGACGGUACCUGUAGAAGAAGGAGCGGCCAACUAUGUGCCAGCAGCCGCGGUGACACAUAGGCUCCGAGCGUUGUCCGGAUUCAUUGGGCGUAAAGAGCUCGUAGGCGGUCGAGUAAGUCGGGUGUGAAAACUCUGGGCUCAACCCAGAGACGCCACCCGAUACUGCUCUGACUCGAGUUCGGCAGGGGAGUGGGGAAUUCCUCGUGUAGCGGUGAAAUGCGCAGAUAUGAGGAGGAACACCGGUGGCGAAGGCGCCACUCUGGGCCGAUACUGACGCUGAGGAGCGAAAGCACGGGUAGCAAACAGGAUUAGAUACCCUGGUAGUCCGUGCCGUAAACGGUGGGCACUAGGUGUGGGAUUCAACUAACGGAUUCUGCGCCGUCGCUAACGCAUUAAGUGCCCCGCCUGGGGAGUACGGUCGCAAGACUAAAACUCAAAGGAAUUGACGGGGGCCCGCACAAGCAGCGGAGCGUGUUGCUUAAUUCGAUGCUACGCGAAGAACCUUACCUGGGUUUGACAUGUUUGGAAAAGCCACAGAGAUGUGGUGUCCGUAAGGGCCAAACACAGGUGGUGCAUGGUUGUCGUCAGCUCGUGUCGUGAGAUGUUGGGUUAAGUCCCGCAACGAGCGCAACCCUCGUUCUGUGUUACCAGCAUUUAGUUGGGGACUCACAGGAGACUGCCGGGGUCAACUCGGAGGAAGGUGGGGAUGACGUCAAAUCAUCAUGCCCCUUAUGUCUUGGGCUGCACGCAUGCUACAAUGGCCGGUACAAAGUGCUGCGAAAUCGUAAGAUUGAGCGAAUCACAUAAAGCCGGUCUCAGUUCGGAUUGAGGUCUGCAACUCGACCUCAUGAAGUCGGAGUUGCUAGUAAUCGUAGAUCAGCAACGCUACGGUGAAUACGUUCCCGGGGCUUGUACACACCGCCCGUCACGUCACGAAAGUCGGUAACACCCAAAGUUAGUGGCCCAACCGCAAGGGGGGAGCUACCUAAGGUGGGAUCGGUGAUUGGGACGAAGUCGUAACAAGGUAACCGUA
rnacentral:rRNA from 1 species